AGCAGCCGCGGUAAUUCCAGCUCCAAUAGCGUAUAUUAAAGUUGUUGCAGUUAAAAAGCUCGUAGUUGAAUUUCGGGGUUAGUAGGUUGGUCAUGCCACUGGUAUGUACUGGUCUCACUGAUUCCUCCUUCCUGAUGAGCCGUAAUGCCAUUAAUUUGGUGUUGCGAGGAAUCUGGACUGUUACUUUGAAAAAAUUGAGUGUUUAAAGCAGGCUAACGCUUGAAUACAUUAGCAUGGAAUAAUGGAAUAGGACGUUCGAUCCUAUUUUGUUGGUUUCUAGGAUUGACGUAAUGAUUAAUAGGGAUAGUUGGGGGCAUUAGUAUUCAAUUGUCAGAGGUGAAAUUCUUGGAUUUAUUGAAGACUAACUACUGCGAAAGCAUUUUGUCAAGGAUGUUUUCAUUAAAUCAAAGAACGAAAGUUAGGGGAUCGAAGACGAUCAGAUACCGUCGUAGUCUUAACCAUAAACUAUGCCGACUAGGGAUCGGAUGAUGUUAAAUUAUUUUAANGAACUCU
rnacentral:rRNA from 1 species